AGAGUUUGAUCAUGGCUCAGAUUGAACGCUGGCGGCAGGCUUAACACAUGCAAGUCGAGCGGGGAAGAGUAGCUUGCUACUUGACCUAGCGGCGGACGGGUGAGUAAUGCUUAGGAAUCUGCCUAUUAGUGGGGGACAACAUCUCGAAAGGGAUGCUAAUACCGCAUACGUCCUACGGGAGAAAGCAGGGGACCUUCGGGCCUUGCGCUAAUAGAUGAGCCUAAGUCGGAUUAGCUAGUUGGUGGGGUAAAGGCCUACCAAGGCGACGAUCUGUAGCGGGUCUGAGAGGAUGAUCCGCCACACUGGGACUGAGACACGGCCCAGACUCCUACGGGAGGCAGCAGUGGGGAAUAUUGGACAAUGGGGGCAACCCUGAUCCAGCCAUGCCGCGUGUGUGAAGAAGGCCUUUUGGUUGUAAAGCACUUUAAGCAGUGAAGAAGACUCUAUGGUUAAUACCCAUAGACGAUGACAUUAGCUGCAGAAUAAGCACCGGCUAACUCUGUGCCAGCAGCCGCGGUAAUACAGAGGGUGCAAGCGUUAAUCGGAAUUACUGGGCGUAAAGCGAGCGUAGGUGGCCUAAUAAGUCAGAUGUGAAAUCCCCGGGCUUAACCUGGGAACUGCAUCUGAUACUGUUGGGCUAGAGUAGGUGAGAGGGAGGUAGAAUUUCAGGUGUAGCGGUGAAAUGCGUAGAGAUCUGAAGGAAUACCGAUGGCGAAGGCAGCCUCCUGGCAUCAUACUGACACUGAGGUUCGAAAGCGUGGGUAGCAAACAGGAUUAGAUACCCUGGUAGUCCACGCCGUAAACGAUGUCUACUAGUCGUUGGGGAACUUGAUUCCUUAGUGACGCAGCUAACGCAAUAAGUAGACCGCCUGGGGAGUACGGCCGCAAGGUUAAAACUCAAAUGAAUUGACGGGGGCCCGCACAAGCGGUGGAGCAUGUGGUUUAAUUCGAUGCAACGCGAAGAACCUUACCUGGUCUUGACAUAGUAAGAACUUUCCAGAGAUGGAUUGGUGCCUUCGGGAACUUACAUACAGGUGCUG
rnacentral:rRNA from 1 species